GUGACCUCAAAUCAGGUAGGACUACCCGCUGAACUUAAGCAUAUCAAUAAGCGGAGGAAAAGAAACUAACAAGGAUUCCCCUAGUAACUGCGAGUGAAGCGGGAAAAGCUCAAAUUUAAAACCUGGCGGUCUUUUGGCUGUCCGAGUUGUAAUCUAGAGAAGUGUUAUCCGCGCUGGACCGUGUACAAGUCU
rnacentral:rRNA from 1 species